rnacentral:misc_RNA from 1 species
CCAUUUGCAAGAAUUGGCGCGCGUGCUGCGUCUGCCGGGCAGUGCGCUGGCGGUUUUGCGCGAAGUGCGUGAGAAAGUCGAGCAGGCCAUCGCCAAGCAGGAAGAAAUUCAGGA